rnacentral:tmRNA from 1 species
GGGUCUGACUGGUUUUGACGGCAGGCAGAAAUGGUAGGUAAGCAUGCAGUGUUUCGUAGAUUGACACUCAAAUCACAGUCUUCAAACAAUUAUCUGGCGAAAACAACUACGCUCUCGCUGCUUGAUCUGAAGUACAGUAAGGUCGCUUAAUUCCUGCACAAGGUGCGGGAACGAGACAUCACUCCGGCACUGUCGCCUCGAGGUAACCGGGUCAAGUGGUGCAGUCAAGUCGAGGAUAGUGACGGCCGGCUCCGCAGCCGCCACGAAAUUCAUAGGAGAUAAGGCAUGGGUUGGUGGCUUUGGUCUUGCCCAUGCACGAAAAUGAAGUCAAAGAUAAGCAUGUAGAAAGCCUAUGGUUUCCUUGUUCGGACGAGGGUUCGACUCCCUCCAGAUCCACA